rnacentral:rRNA from 1 species
UUUACACAUGCAAGUCGAACGGCAGCACAGGGAGCUUGGCUCCCGGGUGGCGAGUGGCGCACGGGUGAGUAAUACAUCGGAACGUGUCCUGGUUGUGGGGGAUAACUGCUCGAAAGGGUGGCUAAUACCGCAUGAGACCUGAGGGUGAAANCGGGGGAUCGCAAGACCUCGCGCAAUUGGAGCGGCCGAUGCCCGAUUAGCUAGUUGGUGGGGUAAAGGCUCACCAAGGCGACGAUCGGUAGCUGGUCUGAGAGGACGACCAGCCACACUGGGACUGAGACACGGCCCCGACUCCUACGGGAGGCAGCAGUGGGGAAUUUUGGACAAUGGGGGCAACCCUGAUCCAGCCAUGCCGCGUGCAGGAUGAAGGCCUUCGGGUUGUAAACUGCUUUUGUCAGGGACGAAAAGGACCGUGUUAAUACCAUGGUCUGCUGACGGUACCUGAAGAAUAAGCACCGGCUAACUACGUG